rnacentral:rRNA from 1 species
AACGAACGCUGGCGGCAGGCCUAACACAUGCAAGUCGAACGAGAAGCCCACCGUUCGGGUGGUGGACAGUGGCAGACGGUGAGUAACACGUGGGAACGUACCCUUUGGUUCGGAACAACACAGGGAAACUUGUGCUAAUACCGGAUAAGCCCUUACGGGGAAAGAUUUAUCGCCCGAAGGAUCGGCCCGCGUCUGAUUAGCUAGUUGGUGAGGUAACGGCUCACCAAGGCGACGAUCAGUAGCUGGUCGAGAGGAUGAUCAGCCACACUGGGACUGAGACACGGCCCAGGACUCCUACGGGA